rnacentral:misc_RNA from 1 species
GAUGAAGAACGCAGCGAAAUGCGAUAAGUAAUGUGAAUUGCAGAAUUCAGUGAAUCAUCGAAUCUUUGAACGCACCUUGCGCUCCUUGGUAUUCCGAGGAGCAUGCCUGUUUGAGUGUCAUUAAUAUAUCAACCUUCUCUUUUUCGAGUUGUUUGGAUGUGGGGGUUUGCUGGCCUCUUAAAUGAUUCAGCUCCCCUGAAAUGCAUUAGCAGAACAACCUGUUCAUUAGCGUGAUAAUUAUCUAUGCUAUUGAAUGUGAGGGCAGUUCAGCUUUCUAACCGUCCUUGGACAAUUCAUCAUUAAUGUGACCUCAAAUCAGGUAGGACUACCCGCUGAACUUAAGCAUAUCAAUAAGCGGAGGA